rnacentral:tRNA from 1 species
GAGCCAUUAGCUCAGGCGGUAGAGCACCUGACUUUUAAUCAGGGUGUCGGAGGUUCGAGUCCUCUAUGGCUCACCA